rnacentral:pre_miRNA from 1 species
CAUGCACUGGUGGGGUCCCUUGGCCUGGCCUGCACUCUCUCGCAAUCUAGGAUCCCUCAGGGGAUGUUGGAGAGCUGGUUUGGCCCAAUCCCCACAGGCCAGGCCAAGGGACCCCACCAGUGCACG